ensembl:processed_transcript
GUUUUUUGUAUUUUGAGACUGUAACCUUGGCUGACCUGGAACUUACUGCAGCAUACACCAGGCUGGCCUCUGCUUCCUCCCACCACGUGCACCACUGUAUCUGGUGAUGUUUAAUUUUUUUAAGACAAGGUCUCAGCCAGGCGUACGUACUGGUGCACGCCUAUAAUUCCAGUACUUGGAAGGCAGAGACUGGAAGAUUUCUGAGCUCAAGGACAGCCUUGUCUACAGAUUCAGUUCAUCUUGGAAAAAAAAGAAAAAGAAAGGAAAAGAGAGAGAGUGUGUCUCUUUUAAUCUACCCUGGCCUCAAACUUGCUCACUAGCUUGAGGAUCAUCUUGAACUUCUGAUCGUGAAGUGCUGGGGACCCAAGCCAGGACUCUGUGCAUGCUAGACAGACGUGCUACCAUGCAGGCCCAAAACCUAACUUCUUACCUAAGAUACUUAGCUUUCUUUCUUUUCACAGAUCAUUACAUCUCUUUUUUUAAAAGAGGUUUAUUUUUAUUUAUGUGUGUGUAGAUAUAUGUGUCUAUGUGUCUGUGCAGAUGUGUGUGUGGGCUCAUAUGCAGAUGUCCUUAGAGGCCAGAAGGUGUCAGAUUUAGAGUUGGAGGCACAGGUGGUUGGGAACUGAUGUACUGGUAACCAUACUCAAGUCCUCUGGGAGAGCAACAAGACUCUUAAUUGCUUUCUAGUCCUAUUCUUUUACUUUUAAAAAAGAAUUAUUAAUGUGUUUGUGUAUGGUGUGUAUGUGUGUGUGUGUGUGUGUGUGUGGUGCAUGUGAUGGAAAACAUUCAGAGAUUAGAGGACAGCUUUGUGGAUUGCCUCUGUGUUUCCAAGCUUUUCCUUGGGUUCCUGAGAUCAAACUCUGAUUGCUAAGUUUGCUGGCAAGUGCCUUACCAAUGAGCCACCUGCUGGCCUGUUACACUCUUUGUAAUAACACAUAAGCACUUUCACUGUAAAGAUUUAAAAAAAAACAGGGUAAGGAAAGUCAGGCUUUGCAGAAACUAUUCAAUUUGAGAAUUAAAUCUAUUUAGUCCUAACUUUUGAGUUUGGGAAUUAUAAUUUGCUUAUAGAUUAUGCUUGUAUUAGAGAACGGGGGAACACAAUCUCUCCUACUUCUCACAGAACACAAAGUCUGUGUGGCUCUACUGUUGGAUGUGGUUUAUGAAUAAAUACGAAUGGGCAUCCCCGCGGUAAGAAGCACAGAUGCGGAAGUGCUGGGCCUCUCCUGCGGUUGGUCUAGGCGUGUGGGACGACAGUUCUCAGGAAAACAUCCGCAAGGAGCUUUGGGCACUUCAUUCAGAAGGAAACCGGAUGACACUGUCCAGGGAGACCUCCACAACCAGGAUGCAUCCCUCCACAAAGACAUGAACUCAGCACAGUUGAGUGACAAGCUCGUCUCACCUGUCACUGUGCAUUGCCAGCCUCAAUAAAGGAGGGUAAAGCUUCCUGGAGCCACCAUCCUGCUUUCCUGGGGGUCUGAGUGACAGGCUUAAUGUAGAUGAGUUCUGCUUGUGAACCCAUCAGAUUUCCGGACAGUCCUAACUGAGCCUGGAUGCUCCUCACAGGGGUGGGGGCUUGGAGGUGGAGAACGGGUUUUCCUGCUUAUUUCCUUUUGUCUUAAAGGAAAUCCUUCAUUUACAAGAGAACAUUUUACCUGAGGGCAAAGAGCUCACCCAUUUUCUGCAUAACUUCUUUAUGAGAGAGUUUGACUUUCUUCCCAGCUUUUAAUGCCUGUUUGGGAAUAAAACAAAACAAAACCCCCAAAACACAUACACAAUGGUCCUUUGUGGGUCCCAUGACCUGUACCCCUCCCAGCAGGCACAGUUUCCAUUAUUCCACAGACAUCACAGCAACAAACACUGACACCUAGAACUUGCACUGUAGACCAGGCUAGCCUCAAGAGAUCCACCUACCCCUGCCUCCUGAGUGCUGCAAUCAAAGGUGUGCACCACUGCUGCUGGCUGCACAAUAGCUUUUUAAUGUUAUAGAAAAGCAGCAAUAUUUUGGUCUGUGUGUUAAAGGACUGGACCUAGUUCACCAUACUGGGAAGUGUUGCAGUUUUUAAGAGGUGAGGCCUACUGGAAGGAAGAGAGGUGACUGGAUGUACACCUUUGAAAAGGACCCCAGCAUUGUGGCGUAAGCAGUUUCCCCUGCCACAGUUCUUCACCAGGGUAUGCUCCUUAACACAGACCCCUAAACAACAGGGAACUGUCCAUGGACUGAAAUCUCCAAACUGUGAGCUAAGAUCAACAAUUCCUCUGUUUACAUUUACUGUAGGUAUUUAAUUCCAAAACAGGAAGCUAGCCCACAUGUUCUUUGAUCUUCUCAAGUGACAGUGAUCCUAUAAAGAUUAAAACAGUGUUAUUUGUCUUAAUCCAAAAAUUCUCUACAAAUAUAUUUAAUCAUGUCAUUUGAAUAAAGACCUUUGAGACUAUUUUCUUUUUUUCUGAGAUUAAGUUCUCACUACAUAGCUCUGGCUGUCCUGGAACUUGCUGUGUACACCAGGCUGGCUUUGAACUCAUGGAGACCCGAUUGCCUCUGCCUUCUGAGUGCUGGGCUUAAAGGCAUGCACCACUAUGCCUUGCUGGGACUCUUUUCAUAUUACAAAUCAGUGGAAAAUGAAAUGGAAACAUGCCCACCAGAGUCAUCACGGGAAAGUCAUUUUCUAACACAUGGUGUACUUGGCCCUGGGCAGCAGUACCUCUAGGCAGGCUUGUCACUUCCACAUAGCCACAGGAGACCAGCUCUUGAGACAGACUUCCCAGGUGAUACUCAUCGGCUGUUGCAAAUGCUGUGCACUGCAUCAGGUCCUGUUUAGGGGAUGAGCACAGGGCUGAGGUUAGCAAAGGGCUCAAGCACCUUCAAUGGUAGCUGGACCCCUCUAGGGAACUGUACUCUGCAAAGCCAGCACUGCAAAGUGUGUGUGAACCUCAGAGGUGCACAUAGAGAGCUGAGCAAGGAUGAAGGGGAUGAGUUACAUGGAGGCAAAUCUCAGCUCCAGUUAGAAAAGAACCCAUGUCUGGCAGCCAAAAAGGUGGACUGGGAAGCCCUGAAAGAGAAGCCACAUCACACAAGUGGUAGGAUCAAGCACACACCAAAAAGGGGAAAACCAGUUAAAAAAUAUUUCAGUUCUCCAGUUUAGGAAGUCUGUGGCUCCAUUCACCUCAGCAUAAGCAGCUAAUGUCACUAGCCUUGCAGGAGCACAGAUUCCCUCAGUCCACAAAGGAUCCCAUGUUGUUCCUGGUAUGUAGUAACUAGUGGUCUGCAUAUCUGAAGGUGUGCCCGCCUCGUAGUACAGGACAGAGCAGAGUACAAGCUAUGCAGACACUCACACCGUGUGUAACACACACACAGGACAUUGUGUGUAAGCACUGCUCAGUGCUCCUCCAGGCAGCAAACGGCACGGCAGCCCAUCUGGAAGUUCACAUAUCAAUUUAGUUGGCUCAAACCAGCCUUUCAGAUUUAUGAUUCAUUUAUGUGUCCCUGUGUGUGCCUACAUUGAGUGUUUUGUGCACCGUGUUUGUGCAGGUUCCCAUGGAGGCUAGAUGGUGUAGGGUGAUCCCCUGGGGCUGUAGUCACAGGCAGCUAUGAGCCACCAGAUUCUAGCUAGGGGCUGAGCCUGGGUCCUCUGCUACAGCUGGAAGCAUUCUUAAUUGCUGAGCCAUCUCUCUAGCACCCAAACCAGCUUUUCAGAUAAAUUGGAGGAUAGGCAUGCCUGGCAUAGAUGCUGGUUUGACCCCCAGCACUGGAAAACAAAACUAACGGUCAGGAUAUGUAUGUACGGCUGUAGGCUGCU